rnacentral:lncRNA from 1 species
ACCCCCUGCUGCUGACGCGGAACAUCUGCCGAGCCGGCGCCGGAGCGGUAGGGCACGCUGAGGGGAUGCUCCACCGUGGCAUGCGAACGCGGACUGUGUCAGGCAUGAGAACGCGGGAGCCCUGCGGCUGAGGAAAGCAGACGUGCGGGGAGCCAAGCCCAGACUCUCAAGAGGGUAGAAAUGGCUACUAGAUAAGGAAACAGGAUGAGAUUGACGUGUUUAACGUUACAGAAUAUGGAAGUUGGGCGCCACAACUUGGCUGUACCACAUUUAAACUCAAGUCUAUUAGGGGCUUGAUCCACUUUCUUUUCUCUACACCACAUUGUUUCCGUAUAAGCAACUUAUGUGUCGGGAGAGGACCUGCUCGUGCUUUUAUGUGUAAGCAUGAUAUCAAACCAAGAAAAAAUAAAGGAAACAAAAAAAAAAACCCAAGGAUAAAACUGAUAACUUAGACACACAAUUUGUGCCUUUCAUGUGACAGAAGACACUAUAAAGUCGAACAACUGGUAGUGAAACAGAGAAACAAUUGUAGUAAAUCACAAGCAAGUUAAUAUUUAUAUUCGAUUACCAUCCUUAGCGUAUGUUUUAUUUGCAUAAGAAAAUAUAAAGAGCUCUUACAAAUUAUUAAGAAAAAGAUAACACCCACUCUUUUAAAAAGUGAAGGGCGGACCAGUCGCGGUGACUCACGCCUGUAAUCCCAACACUUCAGAAGGCUGAGGCUGGAGGAUCACCUGAGGUCGGGUGACCAACACAGCGGAAACCCCCUCUCUACUAAAAAUACAAAUAUUAGCUGGGCGUGGUGGCGGGCACCCAUAGUCCCAGUUACUAGGGAGGGUGAGGUAUGAGAAUCGCUUGAACCCAGGAGGGAGAAGUUGCAGUGAGCCAAGAUUGCACCACUGCACUCAAGUCUGGGCGACAGAGUGAGACCCUGUCUCAAAAAAAAAAGUUUAGCCCCGGGCGCGGUGGCUCACGCCUGUAAUCCCAGCACUUUGGGAGGCCGAGGCGGGCGGAUCACCUGAGGUCGCGAGUUCUAGACCAGCCUGAACAACUUGGAGAAACCCCGUCUCUACUAAAAAUAACAAAAUUAGGCUGGGCGCGGUGGCUCACGCCUGUAAUCUCAGUACUUUGGGAGGCUGAGGCGGGCGGAUCACGAGGUUAGGAAAUCGAGACCAUCCUGGCUAACACGGUGAAACCCGUCUCUACUAAAAAUACAAAAAAAAAUUAGCCGGGCGUGGUGGCGGGCGUCUGUAGUCCCAUCUACUCGGGAGGUUGAGGCAGGAGAAUGGCGUGAACCCGGGAGGCGGAGCUUGCAGUGAGCCGAGAUCUCUCCACUGCACUCCAGCCUGGGCGACAGAGCGAGACUCCGUCUCAAAAAACAAAAACAAAGCAAAAAAUAUAUGUAUACAAAAUUAGGCCGGGCGUGGUGGCUCUGGCUCACGCCUCUAAUCCCAGCACUUUGGGAGGCUGAGGCUGGUGGCUCACCUGAGGUGAGGGGUUCAAGGCUAGCUUGACCAACAUGGUGAAACCCCAUCGCUAGUAAAAACACAAAAAUUAGCCAGGCGUGGUGGUGCGCGCCUGUAAUCCCAGCACUUUGGGAGACCCAGGCGGGCGGAUCAUUUGAGGUUAGGAGUUUGAGACCAGCCUGGCCAGCAUGGUGAAACCCCGUCUCUACUAAAAAUACAAAAAAUUAGGCCGGAUGCAGUGGCUCAUUCCUGUAAUCCCAGCACUUUGGCAGGCCUAGGCGGGUUGAUCACUUGAGGUCAGGAGUUCAAGACCAGCCUGCACAACAUUGGCGAAACCCCGUCUCUACUAAAAAUACAAAAUUAGCCAGGCUUGGUGGGGAGCGCCUGUAAUCCCAGCUACUUGGGAGGCUGACGGAGGAGAAUCACUUGAACCCGGAAGGUGGAGGUUGCCGUGAGCUGAGAUCACGCCAUUGCACUCCAACCUGGCAUUGCACUCCAGCCUGGGCGACAGAGAAAAACAAAAUACAAAAAAUUAGCUGGGCAUGGAGGUGGGCGCCUGUAAUCCCAGCUACUUGGGAGGCUGAGGCAGGAGAAUUGCUUGAACCUGGGAAGCGAAGGUUGCAGUGAGCCGAGUGCAGCUGCACUCCAGCCUGGGCAGCAGAGCAAGACUCCGUCUCAAAAAAAUAAAAAAUAAAAAGUCAAGGGCAUGAACAAGCUAGCCGGGUGUGUGUGUGUAUACAUACAUAACAUAUGGGGGGAUUUAAUAAUUAUAUGAAAAAUUAUCGCACCUCACUAGAAAUCAGAAAAACUUAAACAGUAAUAUACCACUUUCAAAUAGCAGAUUGACAAAGAUUUUAAAAGACCAAAAACCUGGAUGAGGAUAAGGAAUUGGCCGGGCGCAGUGGCUCACGCCUGUAAUCCCAACACUUUGGGGAGGCCAAGGUGGGUGGAUCGUUUGAGGUCAGGAGUUCGAGACCAUCCUGCCAGCAUGGUGAAAUUCCGUCUCUACUGAAAAUACAAAAUUAGCCGGGCAUGGUGGCGGGUGCUUGUAAUCCCAGCUACUCCGGAGGUUGAAGCAGGAGAAUCGCUUGAACCCGGGAGAUGGAGAUUGCAGUGAGCCGAGAUUGGGCCACUGCACUCCAGCCUGGGCAAUAGGAGGGAAACCCUGCCUCAAAAAAAAAAAAAGAAAAAGGAUAUAAGGAAUAGGCAUUUAUUUGCAUUAACCAUAUCAAGAAUGAAACUCUUGAUAUGUGCAAGGCUUUCUGGAAGACAGUUUGGCUUUCAUAAAAAUGUCAAAGCCUUUAAGACACCCUUUAAGCAGUUGUCUUACUCCUUGGAAUUUAUUUUAAUAAAAUAAUAGGAGGCCAGGCACUGUGGCUCACGCCUGUAAUCCCAGCACUUUGGGAGGCCGAGGCGGGUGGAUCACAAGGUCAGGAGUUGGAGACCAGCCUGACCAAGAUGGUGAAACCCCAUCUCUACUAAAACUGCAAAAAUUAGGCUGGGCGUGGUGGCUCACGCCUGUAAUACCAGCAUUUUGGGAGGCCGAGCCAGGUGGAUCAGUUUAGGUCAGGAGUUCAAGACCAGCCUGGCCAACAUGGUGAAACCCCGUCUCUACUAAAAAUACAAAAAAUUAGCCAGGCGUGGUGGUGGGCGCCUGUCAUCCCAGCUACUUGGGAGGCUGAGGCAGGAGAAUCGCUUGAACCCUGGAGGUGGAGGUUGCGGUGAGCCGAGAUCAAGCCAUUGCACUCCAGCCUGGGCAACAAGAGUGAGACUCCGUCUCAAAAAAAACAACAAUAAAAUAAAAAUAAAUAAAACUACAAAAAUUAACCAGGUGUGGUGGUGGGCACCUGUAAUCCCAGCUACUUGGGAGGCUGAGGCAGGAGAAUCGCUUGAACCCAGGCAGCAGAGGUUGCAGUGAGCCGAGAUCACACCAUUGCACUCCAACCUGGGCAACAGAGCAAGCCUCCAUCUCAAAGAAAAAUAAAUGAUAAUAAUAAUAGGAAAGGUGUCCAACAGUUUAUGAAGCUGUUCAUUGAUAACUUCUUUAAAACCCCACACAAAAAAAUAGGAUGGUCCGAGUGCAGUGAUGUUUUCAACUAAUUGAUGACAACUGGUUAGAGAUUUCUUUGUUCCUUCUCCACUCCCACUGCUUCACUUGACCAGCCUUAAAAAAAAGAAAAUGAAAGAAGAAAACCACAAAAAAAAGAGAAACAACCUAAAUGUCUAUAAUAAAUUGACAAAGUAAAUUAUAUUACAUCCAUAGAGUGGAAUAUGAAGCCAUUAACAAUGGUAUUUAUUAAAAGAUGGUCACAUGAAAAAAUGCUCACAGCAUACUAUUAAGAAAAAUGGGCUGGGCGCGGUGGCUCACGCCUGUAAUCCCAGCACUUUGGGAGGCCAAGGCAGGCAGAUCACAAGGUCAGGAGUUUAAGACCAGCCUAACCAACAUGGUGAAACCCCAUCUCUACUAAAAAUACAAAAAUUAGCCGGGUGUGGUGGUGUGCACCUGUAAUACCAGCUGCUCAGGAGGCUGUGGCAGGAGAAUAGCUUAAACCCGGGAGACAGAGGUUGCAGUGAGCCAAGAUUGAGCCACUGCAUUCCAGCCUGGGCAACAGAGUGAGACUCAGUCUCAAAAAAAAAAAAAAAAAAGAAAGAAAAAAAGAAAAAUGAGAGGUAGAUUACAAAACUGUAUGUAUAAUAUCCUAUUUUUGUCAAAUAAAAAAGUAUAAUCAAAGGAAAAAUUUUGACAGACUAGAAACAAAAUGUUAACAAUGCUUAUUCCUAGGUGGCAGACUAAUAGAAGAUCUUUAUUAUUCAUACCUGCUAAGAGCAUAUAUUACUUUUGUUUGAGAUGGAGUCUUGCUAUCAGCCAGGCUGGAG